rnacentral:rRNA from 1 species
AAAUGAAUUGACGGGGGCCCGCACAAGCAGUGGAUUAUGUGGUUUAAUUCGAAGCAACGCGAAGAACCUUACCAGGUCUUGACAUCCCCUGACCCCCAUAGAGAUAUGGGUUCCCUUCGGGGCAGGGAGACAGGUGGUGCAUGGUUGUCGUCAGCUCGUGUCGUGAGAUGUUGGGUUAAGUCCCGCAACGAGCGCAACCCUUACUGUUAGUUGCUACGCAAGAGCACUCUAACGGGACUGCCGUUGACAAAACGGAGGAAGGUGGGGACGACGUCAAAUCAUCAUGCCCUUUAUGACCUGGGCUACACACGUAAUACAAUGGCGCUCUAACAGAGGGAAGCGAAGCCGCGAGGCGGAGCAAACCCCCAAAAAGCGUCUCAGUUCGGAUCGCAGGCUGCAACUCGCCUGCGUGAAGUCGGAAUUGCUAGUAAUCGCGGAUCAUCAUGCCGCGGUGAAUACGUUCCCGGGCCUUGUACACACCGCCCGU